rnacentral:rRNA from 1 species
UUCGGGGUACUCNAGUGGCGAACGGGUGAGUAACACGUGGGUGAUCUGCCCUGCACUUUGGGAUAAGCCUGGGAAACUGGGUCUAAUACCGAAUAUGACCGCUUACUUCCUGGUGUGUGGUGGAAAGCUUUUGCGGUGUGGGAUGGGCCCGCGGCCUAUCAGCUUGUUGGUGGGGUAAUGGCCUACCAAGGCGACGACGGGUAGCCGGCCUGAGAGGGUGACCGGCCACACUGGGACUGAGAUACGGCCCAGACUCCUACGGGAGGCAGCAGUGGGGAAUAUUGCACAAUGGGCGCAAGCCUGAUGCAGCGACGCCGCGUGAGGGAUGACGGCCUUCGGGUUGUAAACCUCUUUCAUUAAGGACGAAGCGCAAGUGACGGUACCUAUAGAAGAAGGACCGGCCAACUACGUGCCANCAGCCGCGGUAAUACGUANGGUCCGAGCGUUGUCCGGAAUUACUGGGCGUAAAGAGCUCGUAGGUGGUUUGUCGCGUUGUUCGUGAAAACUCACAGCUUAACUGUGGGCGUGCGGGCGAUACGGGCAGACUAGAGUACUGCAGGGGAGACUGGAAUUCCUGGUGUAGCGGUGGAAUGCGCAGAUAUCAGGAGGAACACCGGUGGCGAAGGCGGGUCUCUGGGCAGUAACUGACGCUGAGGAGCGAAAAGCGUGGGGAGCGAACAGGAUUAGAUACCCUGGUAGUCCACGCCGUAAACGGUGGGUACUAGGUGUGGGUUUCCUUCCUUGGGAUCCGUGCCGUAGCUAACGCAUUAAGUACCCCGCCUGGGGAGUACGGCCGCAAGGCUAAAACUCAAAGAAAUUGACGGGGGCCCGCACAAGCGGCGGAGCAUGUGGAUUAAUUCGAUGCAACGCGAAGAACCUUACCUGGGUUUGACAUGCACAGGACGCCAGUAGAGAUAUUGGUUCCCUUGUGNCCUGUGUGCAGGUGGUGCAUGGCUGUCGUCAGCUCGUGUCGUGAGAUGUUGGGUUAAGUCCCGCAACGAGCGCAACCCUUAUCUUAUGUUGCCAGCGCGUAAUGGCGGGGACUCGUGAGAGACUGCCGGGGUCAACUCGGAGGAAGGUGGGGAUGACGUCAAGUCAUCAUGCCCCUUAUGUCCAGGGCUUCACACAUGCUACAAUGGCCGGUACAAAGGGUUGCGAUGCCGUGAGGUGGAGCGAAUCCUUUCAAAGCCGGUCUCAGUUCGGAUCGGGGUCUGCAACUCGACCCCGUGUAAGUCGGAGUCGCUAGUAAUCGCAGAUCAGCAACGCUGCGGUGAAUACGUUCCCGGNCCUUGUACAC